UGGUCUGCCCGUGCAGUGAGCAUUGUAU
rnacentral:piRNA from 1 species